GUCUUAUGCACAGCCCUUCAAAUAAAGUGUUAGCAAAUAAACUUCUGUAAGUUUUUAGAGCAUAAACCAGCAUAAUCUGCUGGAUGUUUUGUGUCAGUGUUUGUUAUAUUAGCCUGUAGCACAAAAUGUUUCAACAAAUGAGUCUCCAUAUAUUCUUAGUGAGAAAAUGGGACUCAGCAGAUUAGGUGCUAAAU